CUGGAGGUAUCAGAAGUGCGAAUGCUGACAUGAGUAACGAUAAGGGGAGUGAAAAACUCCCCCGCCGAAAGACCAAGGUUUCCUGUCCCAUGUUAAUCAGGGCAGGGUAAGUCGGCCCCUAAGGCGAGGCGGAAACGCGUAGUCGAUGGGAAACAGAUUAAUAUUUCUGUACUUCUAUAUAUUGCGAAGGAGGGACGGAGUAGGCUAGGUGAGCACGGCGUUGGUAGUCCGUGUGAAAGUAUGUAGGCGGUUGACUUAGGUAAAUCCGGGUCUUCAUUAACGCUGAGAUACGAGACGAGUGUCCAAGGACAUGAAGUCAUUGAUGCCAUGCUUCCAGGAAAAGCUUCUAAGCUUCAGAUAUAUAGGAACCGUACCCCAAACCGACACAGGUGGUUAGGUAGAGAAUACUAAGGCGCUUGAGAGAACUCGGGUGAAGGAACUAGGCAAAAUAGUACCGUAACUUCGGGAGAAGGUACGCUCUCUAAUGUGAAUGACUUGCUCAGUAAGCAUCGGAGAGUCGAAGUAACCAGGUGGCUGGAACUGUUUAUUAAAAACACAGCACUGUGCAAAAUCGAAAGAUGACGUAUACGGUGUGACGCCUGCCCGGUGCCGGAAGGUUAAUUGAUUGGGUUAGCUCUGCGAAGCUCAUGAUCGAAGCCCCGGUAAACGGCGGCCGUAACUAUAACGGUCCUAAGGUAGCGAAAUUCCUUGUCGGGUAAGUUCCGACCUGCACGAAUGGCGUAAUCAUGGCCACACUGUCUCCACCCGAGACUCAGUGAAAUUGAAAUUGCGGUUAAGAUGCCGUAUACCCGCGGCUAGACGGAAAGACCCCGUGAACCUUUACUAUAGCUUGACAGUGAACAUUGCUCCUACAUGUGUAGGAUAGGUGGGAGGCUUUGAAACUUUGUCGCCAGAUGAAGUGGAGCCAACCUUGAAAUACCACCCUUGUAUGCGUGAUGUUCUAACCUAGGGCCCUAAUCGGGCUUGGGGACACUGUCUGGUGGGUAGUUUGACUGGGGCGGUCUCCUCCUAAAGAGUAACGGAGGAGCACGAAGGUUGGCUAAGUACGGUCGGACAUCGUACGGUUAGUGCAAUGGCAUAAGCCAGCUUAACUGCGAGACAGACACGUCGAGCAGGUACGAAAGUAGGUCAUAG
rnacentral:rRNA from 1 species